AAAUUGAAGAGUUUGAUCAUGGCUCAGAUUGAACGCUGGCGGCAGGCCUAACACAUGCAAGUCGAACGGUAACAGGAAGCAGCUUGCUGCUUCGCUGACGAGUGGCGGACGGGUGAGUAAUGUCUGGGAAACUGCCUGAUGGAGGGGGAUAACUACUGGAAACGGUAGCUAAUACCGCAUAACGUCGCAAGACCAAAGAGGGGGACCUUCGGGCCUCUUGCCAU
rnacentral:rRNA from 3 species